rnacentral:rRNA from 1 species
UACAGAGGUCUCAAGCGUUGUUCGGAUUCAUUGGGCGUAAAGGGUGCGUAGGCGGCGUGGUAAGUCGGGUGUGAAAUCUUGGAGCUUAACUCCGAAACUGCAUUCGAAACUGCCGUGCUUGAGGACUGGAGAGGAGACUGGAAUUUACGGUGUAGCGGUGAAAUGCGUAGAUAUCGUAAGGAAGACCAGUGGCGAAGGCGGGUCUCUGGACAGUUCCUGACGCUGAGGCACGAAGGCCAGGGGAGCAAACGGG